rnacentral:rRNA from 1 species
GACGAACGCUGGUGGCGUGCUUAACACAUGCAAGUCGAACGGUGAUGCCCAGCUUGCUGGGUGGAUCAGUGGCGAACGGGUGAGUAACACGUGAGUAACCUGCCCCUGACUCCGGGAUAAGCCUGGGAAACCGGGUCUAAUACCGGAUACGACCGCCGGCCGCAUGGCCUGGCGGUGGAAAGCUUUUUGCGGUUUUGGAUGGACUCGCGGCCUAUCAGCUUGUUGGUGAGGAACGGCUCACCAAGGCGACGACGGGUAGCCGGCCUGAGAGGGUGACCGGCCACACUGGGACUGAGACACGGCCCAGACUCCUACGGGAGGCAGCAGUGGGGAAUAUUGCACAAUGGGCGCAAGCCUGAUGCAGCGACGCCGCGUGAGGGAUGACUGCCUUC